rnacentral:rRNA from 1 species
CGUCAAAUCAUCAUGCCCCUUAUGAUCUGGGCUACACACGUGCUACAAUGGUGACUACAAAGGGAAGCGACCCUGUGAAGGUGAGCAAAUCCCAAAAAGGUCAUCCCAGUUCGGAUUGUAGUCUGCAACUCGACUACAUGAAGCUGGAAUCGCUAGUAAUCGCGAAUCAGAAUGUCGCGGUGAAUACGUUCCCGGGUCUU